UACGGGGGGGAGCAAGCGUUGUUCGGAUUUACUGGGCGUAAAGGGCGCGUAGGCGGCCACCGCAAGUCGACUGUGAAAUCUCCGGGCUUAACCCGGAAAGGUUAGCCGAUACUGCGGGGCUAGAGUGCAGAAGGGGCAACUGGAAUUCUCGGUGUAGCGGUGAAAUGCGUAGAUAUCGAGAGGAACACCUGCGGCGAAGGCGGGUAGCUGGGCCGACACUGACGCUGAUGCGCGAAAGCGUGGGGAGCGAACAGG
rnacentral:rRNA from 1 species